UUCGUAGGUGGCCAACUAAGUCAGACGUGAAAUCCCUCAGCUUAACUGGGGAACUGCGUCUGAUACUGGUUGGCUUGAGUGCAGGAGAGGAACGCGGAAUUCCAGGUGUAGCGGUGAAAUGCGUAGAUAUCUGGAGGAACACCGGUGGCGAAGGCGGCGUUCUGGACUGCAACUGACACUGAUGAACGAAAGCCAGGGGAGACAAACG
rnacentral:rRNA from 1 species